ACGCCUUAAACUCAUGAGUAAGAAAAACAAUGAUUUGGGGUGAUGCCCAAAUCUUCACUGGUAAUGUGAGUUGAAAUUUUGAGCGUGUAAAGGUUGUCCUUCAGGUGACCUGUCUAUAUUGUGGGAUGCCUAGGAGGGGCGAUAUGCCCA
rnacentral:snRNA from 1 species